GCGAGGAUCGGCGAGGGAGAGGAGGGUAAGUAAUGACGGAAGGCAUGGGCUGAGUGGUCGUGGGGGCGAUCUCCAUAGGGGUGGAUUUGGGGAGGCCCCGUUCGGGGUCUGAGAAGGGCCUACUUGCGUAGGCAACCCAGGUAGGGUGAUUUGACAGACCCCUCCAAAGAGCAGACGGCCCGUGUCUGACUCAGCGUGAUCUCUUUUCAACUCUGGCAUGACCUCAUGGGAGUCAGGAUGGCAGUUAUUACCUUAGGUCAGCACCACGGUCUGGCCAGGUGGGCCACCUCCUUCCGGCAGAGAUCCAGCCUGCAGACCAUCUCAGCCCCCAGGGAGCACACGGAGACCCACGGCUUUAGAAUUUGGGCCAGAAAGAGGGCGCUGGAGGGAGAGCUUCACAGACAGCCGGCAAAGCACUAGGGAGAAGGCAUCAAUCUCUCAUAAAAUGGAAGCCUGCCCGCUUCCGAUCUCCAAUCAAACCGAGGAGACAGAAGAGGCAGCUGUCGCCAAGCUGCCGCAGCUCCGGAAUCGUUGUUGAGUAAUUGCCCGGUACUUCAAGUCCGGGAUGGGGGCUCUUUAAGCAAUAUUUCAUGGGAGAGAUCUUGAGCCCUCAUCAGGACAAGAAAUAUGGUUGUUAAACAGGCGGCUAAUGGUUUACCAUUCAUCUGGUAGCAAAUCUGUGAGCUUCAUUACGCUGACCCGCCCGGCCUCAGAAGAGCGACGCAGAAUUAGCCAGAAGGAAGAGGUUGUGAAGAGGAAUCCCCAGCGAGCGCAUCUGGCCAGCACCCCCCAAAGAUCACCAAAUCCCAUCGUUCAAUUCCCACCCAGGGCCGCGCCACUCCCCCCACCCCCAAACCCAGAAAGCUGCUCUGCAAAAAAGCUGCACAAUCAACGUGACCUCUGGGUAAUCAGAAAAUCAAGAACAAACUUGCCUCAUCAGGAAGAAGCUGGGCACCUACCUGCCCUGGGAAAUCUAUAUGUAAAUUCAGGCAGAUCUGCGGUCUUCCUGGUACAUCAGGCUUGGUCUCCAGCCAGGUCCCAAGCUAAGGUAAGACAAAGCUGGCAGCAGAUUGUGGUGCAGACCAGGAACUGUCAGGAUGUGGGGUCUCGGUUUGGGCGGGGCAGGGGGAGGAAGGUCAAGGUUUCUUCCCAAAGCCGCGUCAAAUGGUCUCUGCUUUGUCCCACAGAGCCCCAACCUGCCGCUCACUUUUCGCUCCUUAAAAUUGUAAUGGACACUUGAAAAAAAAGAAAAGAAAAGAACACGCAUGGAAGAAAAUCAGAUCAGGGGCACCUGAGUGGCUCAGGCAGUCAAGCAUCCGACUCUUGAUUUCGGCUCAGGCCGUGAUCUCACGGUUCAUGGGAUCGAGCCCCGCGACAGGCUCCGUGCUGACGGUGCGGAGCCUGCGUGGGAUUCUCUCUCUCCCUCUCUCUCUCUGCCCCUCCUCCACCCUCUCUCUGUCUCUCACUCUCAAAAAUAAACAUUUAAAAGACAAGAAAAGAAAAAUCUUUUCAGAUAACGCAAAGCAACUAUUUCCACAGCUGGGGCAAUUCCUCCGCCGUGCAUUUUGGUCGCGUGUCACUGUUUAAGUCACUGGGUCACUGGCCACUCCCAGUGCCCCUGUGCUUGGAGGCGUGCGGCCUGCCUCCGUCCUUGAUGUCAUUUUAUGUUCAGCACGACUCAGCAAGGCCGUGCGACCCUCCACUCUCAGUGGCUCGCUGUGAACAAGGUUUGUUUUUAGCUCGUGCUGAAAGCCCGUCACAGAUCGGCUACAGCCGGGCCCCAGGAGACGGUGGAGGCAGAGACUGGAGGCAGGGGACGCCAGGAGCUGGAAGAGGUCUUCCCUAGAGCCCUCAGAGGGGGCACAGCCUUGUGACACCCUGAUUUCUGACUUCUGGUCUCCAGAACUGUGAGAACAUAAAUUCUGUCGCUUUAAAUUUGUGGUACUUUGUUAGGGCAACCACGGGAACCCAACACAGAUUUUAUCCUUGCUCUAGGACCCAGGCUGAGGGAGCAGCCUGUCCCCAGACCACUGGGGUUUUCAUCAAAGGGAAAGAAAACAAGGCACCAAGUAUGAGCUGGUUCUCAGGGUUGCACACAAAAGCGACCCCGUCAUUCUGCUCACAUUCUGCUGGCUGGAACAGGUCACCCGCAUACCCGUGGUUUCAAAAAGCAGAGAAAUGUAAUCCCUUACCCCAGAAGUUGGCCACACGGCAAACGUUUUAUGCCGUGGGCUGCAUGGUCUCUGUUACAGCCACUCA